UGGGUAACCCAUCCCGAUGAUUGGGACAACCCGAGGAAACUCGGGCUAAUACCAAAUGUGCUCGUAGACCAUGAGGUCCAUGAGUAAAGAUAGCUUCGGCCUUCGCAUCGGGACGGGCCCGCGGCCCAUUAGCUUGUUGGUGAGGUAACGGCUCACCAAGGCAACGAUGGGUAGCUGGUCUGAGAGGACGAUCAGCCACACGUGGGACUGAGACACGGCCCAGACCUCCGUAGGGAG
rnacentral:rRNA from 1 species